rnacentral:rRNA from 1 species
GACGAACGCUGGCGGCGUGCUUAACACAUGCAAGUCGAACGGAAAGGCCCUGCUUUUGUGGGGUGCUCGAGUGGCGAACGGGUGAGUAACACGUGAGUAACCUGCCCUUGACUUUGGGAUAACUUCAGGAAACUGGGGCUAAUACCGGAUAGGAGCUCCUGCUGCAUGGUGGGGGUUGGACAGUUUCGGCGGUUGGGGAUGGACUGGCGGCUUAUCAGCUUGUUGGUGGGGUAGUGGCUUACCAAGGCUUGGAUGGGUAGCCGGCCUGGGAGGGUGAACGGCCACAUGGGGACUGAGAGACGGACCAGACUCGUACGGGGGGCAGUGGUGGGGAAUAUUGCACAAUGGGCGGAAGCCUGAUGCAGCAACGCCGCGUGCGGGAUGACGGCCUUCGGGUUGUAAACCGCUUUCGCCUGUGACGAAGCGUGAGUGACGGUAAUGGGUAAAGAAGCACCGGCUAACUACGUG